AGUGUGUGAGAACACAUGAGUGUAGUGACCCUCUCUGCCAUCUGUCAGCCCCAUAAGGGACCGGCAUGCCUUGUUCAUCUGACUGUCUAGGGCAGGAACACGAGCAUGGAACACGUGUGAGAAAAGCCCUCCUUCUUGCUACAGGGGCCGUUGGAUUAAGCAGCUUUCGGCUAUCUAAUGUCAUUGAGGUUCAAGCCAUGAAAAAGGAAGCUGACGGCUGCAAAAAGAUGUCAUCUAAGGCCAGACCAAAUGAAAGGAUGCAGUAACUUCCUACCAAAUAAAAACAUCUUUGACUCAAUAGAAAAAA